ensembl:lncRNA
CCUGGCCAUGCCAACCCCCAGGUCAGAACCUGGACUUGUGUGGUUGCUCAGGUAAUAGGCUUAAACAAACUGGGGACUAACAGAGGGAGGAAGGAGGGCAGGAUAGAGGGGAAAAGGCAAGAAAAUUUGCUCAGGGCAAGGGUUAAUUAAAAGACACUUACUCCUUGGGAGAAAAGUCAUGACCAACCUAGACAGUAUAUUAAAAAGCAGAGACAUUACUUUGCCAACAAAGUCCGUCUAGUCAAGGCUAUGGUUUUUCCAGUAGUCAUGUAUGGAUGUGAGAGUUGGACUAUAAAGAGAGCUGAGCACCAAAGAAUUGAUGCUUUUGAAAUGUGGUGUUGGAGAAGACUCUUGAGAGUGCCUUGGACUGCAAGGAGAUCCAACCAGUCCAUUCUAAAGGAGAUCAGUCCUGAAUAUUCAUUGGAAGAACUGAUGCUGAAGCUGAAACUCCAAUACUUUGGCCACCUGAUGUGAAAAGCUGACUCAUUUGAAGAGACCUUGAUGCUGGGAAAGAUUGAAGGUGGGAGGAGAAGAGGACGACAGGAUGAGAUGGCUGGAUGGCGUCACUGACUCAAUGGACAUGAGUUUGAGUAAAUUCCGGACGUUGGUGAUGGACAGGGAAGACUGGCGUGCUGCAGUCCAUGGGGUCGCAGAGAGUCAGAUAUGACUGAGCAACUGAACUGAACUGAACUGAAGGAGACUGAUGGUCCAGUGGCUGGAGAGGAUGGGCAGAAACUGGCGGACAGAGAGGAGCCCCAGCUCAGUCAGCAUAUGAAGUCUCUGGGCUGGGGAGUCUACACGUACUGGCAGUCCCAUGCUAGGAGUUGUCUCGCUGAUCAUCGCAAUUAUAUCCUGACACCAAGCAUAGAAAGUAUUAUUAGCUCCAUUUACUGACACAGAAACUGAGGCUGGAAGGGAGGUCAUUUGCUCAAAAGCUCCCUCCCUUCUCUCUCUCUCUCUCUCUCUCUCUCACAGAGCCAGAGACUUCUGGCAGAGUCUUCCCUAUGUAAUCUGUCUACUACUCCUCCACUCAGCCUCCUAACUUUGCAUCAGAAGGGUUUUCUAGAGCUCUCCAUGGGGCCCCCAUCUCUGACUCUGUCACUUCUCGCUUCUCGGGGGCAAGCAUCGCGACUGCCUCUGGUGGCCACACGUGCUCUGCGCCAGGGUCCUAUCCACCGAGUCCCCGUCAACUCGGUGCCCUUGCCGGAGCUGCCCUGGCCCUGGCUGUCACCUGCACCCCUCCGACACCAAGCUGCGGGCUGUGCUCGGUAGGAACCCAGCCCAGUGCCGGCAGGAGCAACCUCCAAGGGAGGCCUCCAGGGAGAAACGUCCAAAGGCAGCAUUCUGGUCCAAGUGAAAAGUCUGGUUCCCGGACCAGCAGUCUCAACAUCACCUGGGAGCUUGUUAGAAAUGCAGUGUCUCUGAGACUUCCCUGGUGGUCCAGUGGGUAAGAAUUCGCCUUGCAAUGGAGGGGACACAGGUUCAAUCUCUGGUCAGGGAACUUAGAUCCCACAGGCCUCGGAGCUACUGAGCCCCACGACUGCACCUAACACCUGAGUCAGCCAGAUUCUCAGCCCCUCCAUGCUACCUUCCUCCACCUCCUCCAAGAUCUUAUGAAUGAGAACUUCUGAGAGUAAAGCCCUGAUUGUUGUUAGUCUCUCAGUCAUGACUGACUCUGCAACCCCAUGGACUGCAGCACGCCAGGCUUCCCUGUC